rnacentral:rRNA from 1 species
UGGUGAAUAUUGGACAAUGGGAGGAACCCUGAUCCAGCCAUGCCGCGUGUGUGAAGAAUGCCUUAUGGUUGUAAAGCACUUUAAGCGAGGAGGAGGGUACUGUUAUUAAUACUACCAGGUACUGGACGUUACUCGCAGAAUAAGCACCGGCUAACUCUGUGCCAGCAGCCGCGGUAAUACAGAGGGUGCAAGCGUUAAUCGGAAUUACUGGGCGUAAAGCGCGCGUAGGUGGUUCGUUAAGUUGAAUGUGAAAGCCCCGGGCUCAACCUAGGAACUACAUCCAAAACUGGCGAGCUAGAGUAGGGCAGAGGGUGGUGGAAUUUCCUGUGUAGCGGUGAAAUGCGUAGAUAUAGGAAGGAACACCAGUGGCGAAGGCGGCCACCUGGGCUCAUAAUGACACUGAGGUGCGAAAGCGUGGGGAGCAAACAGG